UGCCGCUUGCGAGGGCGUAUGGUGGAUGCCUUGGCAGACAGUACCGAUGAAGGACGUUUGAGGAUGCGAUAAUCCUAGGGGAGCCUCCAACAUGGCUUUGAUCCUAGGGUCUCCGAAUGGGGGAACCCGCCGGCCGUCAUGGGCCGGCACCGCCUAUGGGCGGGGGGUACGCAGGGAAGUGAAACAUCUCAGUACCUGCAGGAAGGGAUACUCCGUGAGUAGUGGCGAGCGAAAGCGGAUCAGACCAAACCGGUUGCGCGUGAUACCCGUCGGGGGUUGCGUUGCCGGUGUUGUGGGAUCACGUGUCCCGGUUCCGACGGGCCGGGCGGGAGUCAUAAAACGGCUUGCCAGGGGAACAGGCUUGAAGGCCUGGCCGUAGAGGGUGCCAGCCCCGUACCUGGACGUGAGCCGUCUUCCGAUCGUGUCGUCCCAAGUAGCGCGGGCCUCGUGGAAUCCCGCGUGAAUCAGCCCAGACCGUUGGGUAAGUCUAAGCAUACCUGUCUGACCGAUAGCGUACCAGUACCGUGAGGGAAAGGUGAAAAGCACCCCGGGAGGGGAGUGAAACAGUUCCUGAAACCGUGCGCCCACAAACCGUCGGAGCCUCCUUGUGGGGUGACGGCGUGCCUAUCGAAAAAUGAGUCUGCGAGUCAGUGGCGGGUGGCGAGCAUAAGCCGUGUGGCGUAUGCGUAGCGAAAGCGAGUCUUAAAAGGCGUUUGUAGUCGCUUGUCCUGGACCCGAAGCGGGAUGAUCUAGCCCUGGGCAGGUUGAAGCGCGGGUAAGACCGCGUGGAGGACCGAACCCACCUGGGUUGAAAACCGGGGGGAUGACCUGGGGCUAGGGGUGAAAGGCCAAUCAAAUUCCGUGAUAGCUGGUUCUCUCCGAAAUGCAUUUAGGUGCAGCGUCGGUCGAUUGCGUCGCGGGGGUAGAGCUACCGGAUGCUUGCGGGCCCUUGUUGGGUACCAACAGCAGCCGAACUCCGAAUACCGUUGACGUGUAUUCCGGCAGUGAGUCGGCGGGGGAUAAGCUCCGUCGUCGAGAGGGAGACAGCCCAGACCGUCGUCUAAGGUCCCGAAGCGUGUGCUAAGUGGGAAAGGAUGUGGAGUCGCAUAGACAGCCAGGAGGUUGGCUCAGAAGCAGCCAUCCUUGAAAGAGUGCGUAACAGCUCACUGGUCUAGUGGUUCCGCGCCGACAAUGUAGCGGGGCUCAAGCACACCACCGAAGACGCGGCAGCAAUCUUCAUGGUUGCUGGGUAGGAGAGCGUCCUGCGAGGGGCGAAGCGGCCGGGUAAUCGUGCCGUGGACUUCGUGGGAGUGAGAAUGCAGACAUGAGUAGCGAGAGACGGGUGAGGAUCCCGUCCGCUGGAUGACCAAGGGUUCCGGGGCCACGUUCGUCGUCCCCGGGUGAGUCGGGUCCUAAGGCGAGGCCGACAGGCGUAGUCGAAUGGAUGAACGGGUGGAUAUUCCCGUACCGACCAUGGACCGGCAAAACCGAGACGGUGAGUACUAACCUCCGCCUCGUGGUGGUUCCUUCCUUCGGGUUGGUGUCGCCGCGUGGUGUUGGGACCGUAGCCGCAGUAGGUCAGCGCAGGGGUGACACGGAAUGGGAGCCGGCCGCGGAGGUGGUUUUCCGUGGUCAAGCACGCAGCCAGUCAUGUAGGCAAAUCCGCAUGGCGCGCAUGGCGAGGUGUGAUGAUGGGAGCCGUUAUGGCUCGAUAUCCGGUUGUCCAGGCCGUCGAGAAAAGCCUCGGCGUGAGGGCCAUGGCCGCCCGUACCCCAAACCGACACUGGUGGUCAGGUAGAGAAUACCAAGGCGAUCGAGCGAAUCCUGGUCAAGGAACUCGGCAAAUCACUCCCGUGCCUUCGGUAUAAGGGAGACCCGCUGGGGUGAACCGGCUAGCCCGGGGAGCUUUGGUGGGUGGCACAGACCAGGGGGUAGCGACUGUUUACCAAAAACACAGGUGCAUGCGAAGGCGAAAGCCGCUGUAUAUGCACUGACGCCUGCCCGGUGCCGGAAGGUUAAGAGGAUCCGUCAAUCCCUUCGGGGACGAAGCGGUGAAUUCAAGCCCCGGUAAACGGCGGUGGUAACUAUAACCAUCCUAAGGUAGCGAAAUUCCUUGUCGGGUAAGUUCCGACCUGCACGAAUGGCGUAA
rnacentral:rRNA from 1 species